AAGAGACCAAAAAGAUUUGAUGUUUGCUGUGAGGUGGUAAAGAAAAAUAGCUACGCACUAAGACAACAACAUGUGUGUACUAGUAGUAGCACGUACAUGCUGGAGCUACUAGAUUAGUAUGUACAUGGUUGUUAAGAUGAUGCUGCAUGCAUAACUUAAAAAGGGAGAUGAUUAGUACGUACUUGUAGCAAGCAUCCCAGCUAGCUAGUACAUUUUAGUCUGCAUCCAUUUUAGUCCAUUUUAGUCUGCAUCCGUUUUAGUCCAUUUUAGUCUGUAUCCAUUUUAGGUUAUUUUAGUAAACAAAAAAAUUAGGCAAAAUGAGAAUACAGAGGAGAAAUGAAAUAGCCUACACCCAUUUUAAUCCAGUAGCAAUUUUGCCAAAGGUGACCGUUGCAAACAUUUUAUCAUGUUACAAGCACAUUAUUUGAACGAGCGCUUUUAUUGUUGGUGGCUUAUUUGUAAGCCCAACAAGUUGGGUGAUUUUCUUCAUGGGUGGGUCAUAACCUCAAGCUUUAGGUUACUAUAAACAAGUUUGGAACGACAAAAAUAUCAUUUUUUUACUGUUUUGUUACUAGCCUGAUUCAAAUCCUUUUCAUCUCCAAUGAACGAGCUUUGUACAACAUCAGCCUUGAUUCAAACUCCAUGUACUGAAUAGGUUCAUAGCGUGCACUGCUUUAGCCAACACCCAAUAGCAAGGCAAACAAAGAAGGUCUUAGAACACUUGUCCUUAUAUGAUGUAAAGAUUGCAUUUUUAUUGGGCUAUCUUGUCCUUCCAGUACUAGUUUCAUGUUUAUGUUACAACAACUUUAUUGUGCUACGAGAGCUCUGUUUUAAGUUUCCGGUCUGCUGCAGGUUUACCAAAGAUACACUGGUUGAUGGAGGUCUGGGUGAUCUACAAGCUUAUGAGGAUUUGGAUGAUCUAAAAACUUCUGAAGGCUUGGAUGACCUACAAGCUACUGAAUGUUUGCAAGACCAACAAUUAAGUUGGUGGAGUGAUUAUGUAAUGUGCCUUGUUUGUUGAACCUGGUGACAUUGGCAGGUUGUGCUCAUCUUGGUGGUUGUUUAGGCACAUAAGCAGCCACUAUAUGCUCUUUUUGGUUGGGUGACACACCUAGAAACAUAUAUACUUCUCUCCUUGAUGCACCACUUAUAAUUUUAUUGUGAGGCACACCUAUAAACAUAUAUGUGCUCCUUUUGGGGCACAACCUGUAUAUAUAUGGUUGUUAUGUUUAUUAAAUGAAGUUUAAGGUUUUCGAUGAGGCCUAUAUGUUACUUUAAAGUGUAUGUAUAAAUUGUGUGAUCUGGCCUGAGUGCUUGAA
rnacentral:lncRNA from 1 species